GUCACUUGUUGAAAAGGCUUAAACCAAGGGUUGAACUUCCGACGGGAUGGGGGGCACUCCGACUGUCCUGUCCUAUUUCCAUGAUUUAAUGGAACCUGAGAUGGGUGUAGGAUACCGAAUCCUUCAUCCAUGGCUUGUCUUGCUUUCAUCCCAGUCGGAACACCCAACAGUAGGGCCGUCCUGGCCAUGUAGGGCUGGAAUUGGGCCUAUGCCGACCUGAGGCGCAUCAAGCCAAGUCAACUUUGGGUCUGGCUAUGAGUUAGGCAGGAACGACUCAGCUUUAUGCCUCUUCUGUCCUGUCUGCGACACGCCUUUGUUUGAGAAUGAGCCAAUGAUUGGGGACUCUUGAAGCUGGGAUUUAACAUGCAUCAAUGGAAGGGGGAGGAAUGCUUUGGUCGUAGGGGGAGAGAGUGGAAAAAGGGGAGGGAUCAACAGGAAGGAGGAGCAACGAAGGGAAAAAAUGGCUAGAAGGUACAGGGUGGAGUGUUUUUUUUUAAUUUUCAGUCUUUAGCUUUGAAAUACUUAAGUAUAAUAUUUUUUGUUUUUUUGAAACAAGCUUGAUGGUUGGUCACAGUGUUAGCGGGGGAAAUUUAAAACUCGUGCAUGAGUUCCCCACAAUUAACAUAAAUUUUUCCAUAAAAAUAAUAUUAUAUAAAAAAUCAAAAAUAUAGAAAAUUGAACCCCACAUUCGAUGUUAAGUUUUUCAUCAAAAUAAUAUUAUAUAAAAAAUAAAAAAGUACCCUAUAUUCAACAUUAAAUUUUCCCAAAAUAUUUUUAUGUAAAAAUUCAAAAAAUAUAGAAUCAAAUCCCACAUUCAACAUUGAAUUUUUUUUUUCUCAAAAUAAUACUAUAUAAAAAGUAAAAAUACAUAGAAAAGGGAAUAUAUAUUAUAUUCUAUAUGUAUAAAAAAUAUUAUAUAUUUAAAAAAUAAUACUAUAUAAGAAACAAAAUAUAUAUAUAAAAAAAACAUCCUAAGAAAUAUGCAGUUCAUUCUUUAUUUUUAAUGGAUAUAAAAAUUUUGACAAUAUUUUUUGCUAAUCCUGCGAUUCUCUAAUAGCAGUAUUUUCAAAUGCAAGAGAAUGGGUCACCAUGUUAAUUGCUUGGAGCAGCAAUUAAGCCAAUUAAACAAUAAUAACACAAUUAUGUAUAUACACUUAAUAGAUUUUACUCAUGUUUAUUUUGUUAUACAAUAUGACAGUUUUUCUUACUUCUCAGCCACUUAUGUGACAUGUAAAUAUCAAACUGAAGGCAAAUGCGAUUGGUUAUGCGACCAAACUCUAUGCAGUAAAAAUUGCCACUUUUUUGUCAAAUCAUAUCAUUUUUUGCCUUGUCAAGGGCUCGUGAUCGUUGCUUGGUAAUCAAUGAUCUACAAUAAUCUAGAAGGCCCACAAGAAAUUAUAGUGAUCUAUUUAAGUAAAUAUAUGAAAAAGAUGGUAUAAUCCAAAAGGUGUCAGAAUAUUUAACCAAAGGGUUUCUGU
rnacentral:lncRNA from 1 species